ACUUGAUGUAGUGCAAAAAAUUGGUACAAAGCUAAAGAACCAACUAUAAUUAAAUCAUUGAUAUUAAAUGGCUUUAACUUGGUAGCUUGCAAUCGAGAGUUCGAAUCUCUCACUCACCGCCA
rnacentral:tRNA from 2 species